CCUUUAAAGAGAAUGGGUUGCAACACACAGUUCAACUACUCCAAACUCCAGCUAAUGCAUAGCAGUACACUCAUCUUUCCAUUCCCUACCAAAGACCUUGAAGAUUCAAAGUUGAACCACACUAAACUCAGCUAUGAUAGUGCCCCAUACAUGUGCAUGGGAGCAGAAAACAUAAAAACAGCUUAGAAGAUUUAAGGAAAUGGGAAACAUAAAUAGAUAUGAGCAACUAUCAAGAUUCAUGUAAGGCAAUUACCGUUUAUACAAAAUAAGGAAUAUUUAUGAAUCAUAUGAACAGUCAUGGCACUACAUUCUGCAUGAUAAGAAACAGCUACCCUGGGCUUAUGUUGACACAUGCUAAAACCUCUCGUCCUAUGACUUUGGUUUACCAUAUUCUCAGUUUCCAUACAGUCCAUAACAGAUGUUCUAGGCAUUUAGAGCUGUGACUAAAAAACAACAGCCAAAUGUUCAACAGAGCAGAAGCAA